rnacentral:rRNA from 1 species
GAUGAACGCUGGCGGCGUGCAUAACACAUUCAAGUCGAACGGAGUUAAUUGGAAGCUUGCUUCUGAUUAACUUAGUGGCGGACGGGUGAGUAACGCGUGAGCAACCUGCCUGUUAGAGGGGAAUAACGUCUGGAAACGGACGCUAAUACCGCAUAACGCAUUGAGACCGCAUGGUAUUAAUGCCAAAGAUUUAUCGCUAACAGAUGGGCUCGCGUCCGAUUAGGUAGUUGGUGAGGUAACGGCCCACCAAGCCGACGAUCGGUAGCCGGACUGAGAGGUUGAACGGCCACAUUGGAACUGAGAAACGGUCCAG